CCUUACUUAUAAAAAUCAACAAAUCAUCUUCUAAGCAUUGUUUUACCUAAUUACUACUUAAAGCCUUAAGUAGUGAUUAAAUUAUUUUGACCUAUAAACGUUGCUUAAGCAUGUCUUAAGUAAUGAACAGAUAAUGCCAUAAAAACAUACUAAUUUCUCAACACUACCGGAAUGUUGGUAGCUUAAAAAAAUAUUUGUCAUCAAAACGUUGUGUAAUGGCAACAAUGGCAUCCGUAAAAUAUAAAAUUAAAAAGUUGAGCUGUCAAUAAACCGGAAAUGAAAAAUCAGCUGGUAAGAAUCCAGCCAUUUUGCUAAUUAGCGGGUUAAACAAGGGUGUGAGGCUACUUAAUUUGACAGCUCAUUUAAGACAUUGCAAAGAAAAUGAUUUAAUUUAGCCACGUUUAUAAGUAAGAAUUUUUCUUAAACACCCCUUAAGUAUAACUUAUUAUUUAAUUCACGUUUAUAAGUAAGACUCUAACAGCCUUACUUAUAAAAAUCAACAAAUCAUCUUCUAAGCAAUGUUUUAAGUAAUUACUACUUAAAGCCUUAAGUAGUGAUUAAAUUAUUUUGACCUAUAAACGUUGCUUAAGCAUGUCUUAAGUAAUGAACAGAUAAUGACAUAAAAACAUACUAAUUUCUCAACACUACCGGAAUGUUGGUAGCUUAAAAAAAUAUUUGUCAUCAAAACGUUGUGUAAUGGCAACAAUGGCAUCCGUAAAAUAUAAAAUUAAAAAGUUGAGCUGUCAAUAAACCGGAAAUGAAAAAUCAGCUGGUAAGAAUCCAGCCAUUUUGAUAAUUAGCGGGUUAAACAAGGGUGUGAGGCUACUUAAUUUGACAGCUCAUUUAAGACAUUGCUAAGAAAAUGAUUUAUUUCAGCCACGUUUAUAAGUAAGAUUUUUUCUUAAACAUCUCUUAAGUAUAACUUAUUAUUUUAUAAGUAAGGCUGUAAAUAUUUAAACU
rnacentral:lncRNA from 1 species